rnacentral:rRNA from 1 species
AUUGAACGCUAGCGGCAUGCCUUACACAUGCAAGUCGAACGGUAACAGGUCUUCGGAUGCUGACGAGUGGCGAACGGGUGAGUAAUACAUCGGAACGUGCCUAGUAGUGGGGGAUAACUACUCGAAAGAGUGGCUAAUACCGCGUGUGAUCUACGGAUGAAAGCAGGGGAUCGCAAGACCUUGUGCUACUAGAGCGGCCGAUGGCAGAUUAGGUAGUUGGUGGGAUAAAAGCUUACCAAGCCGACGAUCUGUAGCUGGUCUGAGAGGGCGAUCAGCCACACUGGGACUGAGACACGGCCCAGACUCCUACGGGGGGCAGCAGUGGGGAAUUUUGGACAAUGGGCGAAAGCCUGAUCCAGCAAUGCCGCGUGCAGGAUGAAGGCCUUCGGGUUGUAAACUGCUUUUGUACGGAACGAAAAGCCCCGGGUUAAUACCCUGGGGUCAUGACGGUACCGUAAGAAUAAGCACCGGCUAACUACGUGCCAGCCGCCGCAGUAA